GGUAGUAGCAAUAUUCAAAUGAGAACUUGGAAGGCCGAAGAGAGGGAAGUCCAUGUGAACGAUACUUGCAUAUGGGUUAGUCGAUCUUAAGGGAUGGAGGAAGGUCGUCAUAUAGCACUCUAAGCACACACUCCGAGAGGGAAUCGGGUUAAAGCUCCUGAACUAGGACAUGGCAAUCAAGUUAAAAUUCUUGAACCAGCACAUGCCGCUUGGCGGCAACAUUAGGGAAUCCGAAGUGAGGAAACGUCAUUAGCU
rnacentral:rRNA from 1 species